rnacentral:rRNA from 1 species
GGUUAAGCGACUAAGCGUACACGGUGGAUGCCCUGGCAGUCAGAGGCGAUGAAGGACGUGCUAAUCUGCGAUAAGCGUCGGUAAGGUGAUAUGAACCGUUAUAACCGGCGAUUUCCGAAUGGGGAAACCCAGUGUGAUUCGUCACACUAUCAUUAACUGAAUCCAUAGGUUAAUGAGGCGAACCGGGGGAACUGAAACAUCUAAGUACCCCGAGGAAAAGAAAUCAACCGAGAUUCCCCCAGUAGCGGCGAGCGAACGGGGAGCAGCCCAGAGCCUGAAUCAGUGUGUGUGUUAGUGGAAGCGUCUGGAAAGGCGCGCGAUACAGGGUGACAGCCCCGUACACAAAAAUGCACAUGCUGUGAGCUCGAUGAGUAGGGCGGGACACGUGGUAUCCUGUCUGAAUAUGGGGGGACCAUCCUCCAAGGCUAAAUACUCCUGACUGACCGAUAGUGAACCAGUACCGUGAGGGAAAGGCGAAAAGAACCCCGGCGAGGGGAGUGAAAAAGAACCUGAAACCGUGUACGUACAAGCAGUGGGAGCACGCUUAGGCGUGUGACUGCGUACCUUUUGUAUAAUGGGUCAGCGACUUAUAUUCUGUAGCAAGGUUAACCGAAUAGGGGAGCCGAAGGGAAACCGAGUCUUAACUGGGCGUUAAGUUGCAGGGUAUAGACCCGAAACCCGGUGAUCUAGCCAUGGGCAGGUUGAAGGUUGGGUAACACUAACUGGAGGACCGAACCGACUAAUGUUGAAAAAUUAGCGGAUGACUUGUGGCUGGGGGUGAAAGGCCAAUCAAACCGGGAGAUAGCUGGUUCUCCCCGAAAGCUAUUUAGGUAGCGCCUCGUGAAUUCAUCUCCGGGGGUAGAGCACUGUUUCGGCAAGGGGGUCAUCCCGACUUACCAACCCGAUGCAAACUGCGAAUACCGGAGAAUGUUAUCACGGGAGACACACGGCGGGUGCUAACGUCCGUCGUGAAGAGGGAAACAACCCAGACCGCCAGCUAAGGUCCCAAAGUCAUGGUUAAGUGGGAAACGAUGUGGGAAGGCCCAGACAGCCAGGAUGUUGGCUUAGAAGCAGCCAUCAUUUAAAGAAAGCGUAAUAGCUCACUGGUCGAGUCGGCCUGCGCGGAAGAUGUAACGGGGCUAAACCAUGCACCGAGCUGCGGCAGCGACACUAUGUGUUGUUGGGUAGGGGAGCGUUCUGUAAGCCUGUGAAGGUGUACUGUGAGGUAUGCUGGAGGUAUCAGAAGUGCGAAUGCUGACAUAAGUAACGAUAAAGCGGGUGAAAAGCCCGCUCGCCGGAAGACCAAGGGUUCCUGUCCAACGUUAAUCGGGGCAGGGUGAGUCGACCCCUAAGGCGAGGCCGAAAGGCGUAGUCGAUGGGAAACAGGUUAAUAUUCCUGUACUUGGUGUUACUGCGAAGGGGGACGGAGAAGGCUAUGUUGGCCGGGCGACGGUUGUCCCGGUUUAAGCGUGUAGGCUGGUUUUCCAGGCAAAUCCGGAAAACUAAGGCUGAGGCGUGAUGACGAGGCACUACGGUGCUGAAGCAACAAAUGCCCUGCUUCCAGGAAAAGCCUCUAAGCAUCAGGUAACAUCAAAUCGUACCCCAAACCGACACAGGUGGUCAGGUAGAGAAUACCAAGGCGCUUGAGAGAACUCGGGUGAAGGAACUAGGCAAAAUGGUGCCGUAACUUCGGGAGAAGGCACGCUGAUAUGUAGGUGAAGUCCCUCGCGGAUGGAGCUGAAAUCAGUCGAAGAUACCAGCUGGCUGCAACUGUUUAUUAAAAACACAGCACUGUGCAAACACGAAAGUGGACGUAUACGGUGUGACGCCUGCCCGGUGCCGGAAGGUUAAUUGAUGGGGUUAGCGCAAGCGAAGCUCUUGAUCGAAGCCCCGGUAAACGGCGGCCGUAACUAUAACGGUCCUAAGGUAGCGAAAUUCCUUGUCGGGUAAGUUCCGACCUGCACGAAUGGCGUAAUGAUGGCCAGGCUGUCUCCACCCGAGACUCAGUGAAAUUGAACUCGCUGUGAAGAUGCAGUGUACCCGCGGCAAGACGGAAAGACCCCGUGAACCUUUACUAUAGCUUGACACUGAACAUUGAGCCUUGAUGUGUAGGAUAGGUGGGAGGCUUUGAAGUAUGGACGCCAGUCUGCAUGGAGCCGACCUUGAAAUACCACCCUUUAAUGUUUGAUGUUCUAACGUUGACCCGUAAUCCGGGUUGCGGACAGUGUCUGGUGGGUAGUUUGACUGGGGCGGUCUCCUCCUAAAGAGUAACGGAGGAGCACGAAGGUUGGCUAAUCCUGGUCGGACAUCAGGAGGUUAGUGCAAUGGCAUAAGCCAGCUUGACUGCGAGCGUGACGGCGCGAGCAGGUGCGAAAGCAGGUCAUAGUGAUCCGGUGGUUCUGAAUGGAAGGGCCAUCGCUCAACGGAUAAAAGGUACUCCGGGGAUAACAGGCUGAUACCGCCCAAGAGUUCAUAUCGACGGCGGUGUUUGGCACCUCGAUGUCGGCUCAUCACAUCCUGGGGCUGAAGUAGGUCCCAAGGGUAUGGCUGUUCGCCAUUUAAAGUGGUACGCGAGCUGGGUUUAGAACGUCGUGAGACAGUUCGGUCCCUAUCUGCCGUGGGCGCUGGAGAACUGAGGGGGGGCUGCUCCUAGUACGAGAGGACCGGAGUGGACGCAUCACUGGUGUUCGGGUUGUCAUGCCAAUGGCACUGCCCGGUAGCUAAAUGCGGAAGAGAUAAGUGCUGAAAGCAUCUAAGCACGAAACUUGCCCCGAGAUGAGUUCUCCCUGACUCCUUGAGAGUCCUGAAGGAACGUUGAAGACGACGACGUUGAUAGGCCGGGUGUGUAAGCGCAGCGAUGCGUUGAGCUAACCGGUACUAAUGAACCGUGAGGCUUAACCUU